rnacentral:rRNA from 1 species
AUUGAAUGCUGGCGGCAGGCCUAACACAUGCAAGUCGAACGAGUGGCGGACGGGUGAGUAAUGUCUGGGAAACUGCCUGAUGGAGGGGGAUAACUACUGGAAACGGUAGCUAAUACCGCAUACCAUCAGAUGUGCCCAGAUGGGAUUAGCUAGUUGGUGGGGUAACGGCUCACCAAGGCGACGAUCCCUAGCUGGUCUGAGAGGAUGACCAGCAAAAUUGGAACGGGGACACGGUCAAGACGCCUACGGGAGGAAGCAGUGGGGAAUGUUUGAAAAUGGGGGAAAGCCUGAGGCAGCCAUGCGGGGUGGAUGAAGAAGGCCUGCGGGUUGUAAAGUACUUUGAGCGGGGAGGCGUUACCGGAAGAAGAAGCACCGGCUAACUACGUGCCAGCAGACGCGGUAAUUC